GCUCUAGUAGCUUAACCUAUUUAAAGCAUGGCACUGAAGAUGCUAAGAUGGUACCCACACUACCCAAGAGCA
rnacentral:tRNA from 1 species